AGUGAACGCUGGCGGCGUGCCUAAUACAUGCAAGUCGAACGAAGUGGCGCACGGGUGAGUAAUAUAUAGUUAAUCUGCCCUACACAGAGGAACAACAGUUGGCAACGACUGCUAAUACCCCAUAGUGUAGGAUGAGACUAUAUCGUAUCAGCUCGUUGGUAAGGUAAUGGCUUUCCAAGGCUAUGACGCGUAACUGGUCUGAGAGGAGCAUCAGUCACAUUGGAGCGUAGACAGGGUUCAAACUCCGACGGGCUGCAGCAGUAAGGAAUAUUGCGCAAUGGGGGUAACCAGGACGCAGCUACGCCGCGUGGAGUAUGACACUUUUCGCAGCGUAAACUGCUUUUAUAAGGAAUGCGGUACCUGAUGAAUAAGCACGGGCUAACUCCGUGCCAGCGGCGGCGGGAAUAC
rnacentral:rRNA from 1 species